rnacentral:rRNA from 1 species
GACGAACGCUGGCGGCGUGCUUAACACAUGCAAGUCGUACGGUAAGGCCCUUUCGGGGGUACCCGAGUGGCGAACGGGUGAGUAACACGUGAGUAACCUGCCCACACCAUUGGGAUAACGCUAGGAACCUGGUGCUACUACUGGAUAUGUGCUCCUGCUGCAUGGUGGGGGUUGGAAAGCUCCGGCGGUUGUGGAUGGACUCGCGGCCUAUCAGCUUGUUGGUGGGGUAGUGGCCUACCAAGGCGGCGACGGGUAGCCGGCCUGCGAGGGUGACCGGCGACAUAGAGACUGAGGUACGGCCCAGACUGCGACGAGAGGCAGCAGUGGGGAAGAUUGCACAAUGGGCGCAAGCCGGAUGCAGCAGCGCCUCGUGCGGGAUGACGGCCUUCGGGUUGAAGACCGCUUGCAGCAGGGACGAAGCUUGUUGUGACGGUACCUGCAGAAGAAGCACCGGCUAACUUCGUG